GACGAACGCUGGCGGCGUGCUUAACACAUGCAAGUCGAACGGAAAGGCCCUGCUUUUGUGGGGUGCUCGAGUGGCGAACGGGUGAGUAACACGUGAGUAACCUGCCCUUGACUUUGGGAUAACUUCAGGAAACUGGGGCUAAUACCGGAUAGGAGCUCCUGCUGCAUGGUGGGGGUUGGAAAGUUUCGGCGGUUGGGGAUGGACUCGCGGCUUAUCAGCUUGUUGGUGGGGUAGUGGCUUACCAAGGCUUUGACGGGUAGCCGGCCUGAGAGGGUGACCGGCAACAUUGGGACUGAGAUACGGCACAGACUGCAACGGGAGGCAGCAGGGGGGAAUAUUGCACAAUGGGCGGAAGCCUGAUGCAGCAACGCCGCGUGCGGGAUGACGGCCUUCGGGUUGUAAACCGAUUUCGCCUGUGACGAAGCGUGAGUGACGGUAAUGGGUAAAGAAGCACCGGCUAACUACGUG
rnacentral:rRNA from 1 species